AGACAAGUAAAUGAAGAACAUCUCCAGCAAAGCAACUAUGACAGAACACUUCCCCCCCGACCUCACCCUCCUCCUCACAAUCCGUUUUUCUGCCUCAAUCCCAGAUGUCCUCCUCGAAAUCCCUGAUCCAACCCUCCUGACAGCCGCGGGCCUCAAACAACUCAUCCGCCAACAUCUCCCACAGGACCUCUCCACACACCGUCUCCGCCUCAUAUAUGCUGGCAAGGCCCUCAAUGAUACCUCUCCUCUCGCCUCCAGUCUAAAAAUCGCCUCUACCAUACCUGGGAUCGGACAUAAUAACCAUAAGACCUCAUCCCCGUUGCCGGAUUACUCCUAUGUGGUCGGUGCUGGGAAUAGGAAUGUGAAAGACAAAGGCAAAACACCCGUGCGUGAUCCGCCCACACCACGGCUACGGACGUACAUUCACUGCUCGAUCGGAGAUAUCAUCCUCUCCGCAGCAGAGUUAGAGGUGGAGGCGCGACUUGCACGUGCGGCGGAAGAAGAUGAUACAGAGGGCUGGGAAGGGACCAAGCGGCCAGUGGUGGAUAACAAGUCCUCCUCUCUGCUUAUCCCUUCUUCUUCUUCUCUUAACAACCCACCACAAUCCUCCUCGUCGUCAUCGUCCUUAGAUGCUUUUGCUACCGCACCGCGUGGUACCAUUUCCACUUCCACUUCUACACACCAUGGCCACGGCCAGCAGCACGCCCAAUCAGCAUCCACCUCCACCCGUCCAUCACUUACCCCCACUGGUCCCAGAGGCUUCGACCGCUUGUUAGAAGCAGGCUUCACAUCUGCCGAAGUGUCCGCACUGCGCUCGCAGUUCCUCGCCCUCCAGUCCCUCUCGUAUACGCCGGAUACAAUGCCGUCCGGCGCGGAGCUGCGACGCCUGGAAGAUAUAUGGAUGGACGAGGGGGCUUCUGCGGGC
rnacentral:sRNA from 1 species